GGGUGGUUAGCUCAGGUGGUAGAGCGUUUGCUUGACGUGCAAAAGGUCAUUGGUUCGAGUCCAAUAUCACCCAC
rnacentral:tRNA from 1 species